AACCAGACUCCUACGGGAGGCAGCAGUGAGGAAUAUUGGUCAAUGGGCGCGAGCCUGAACCAGCCAAGUCGCGUGAGGGAAUAAGGCCCUACGGGUCGUAAACCUCUUUUGCCGGGGAGCAAGGGCCGGGACGAGUCCCGGUCCGGAGAGUACCCGGAGAAAAAGCAUCGGCUAACUCCGUGCCAGCAGCCGCGGUAAUACGGAGGAUGCGAGCGUUAUCCGGAUUUAUUGGGUUUAAAGGGUGCGUAGGCGGGCUUUUAAGUCAGCGGUAAAAAUUCGGGGCUCAACCCCGUCCGGCCGUUGAAACUGGGGGCCUUGAGUGGGCGAGAAGAAGGCGGAAUGCGUGGUGUAGCGGUGAAAUGCAUAGAUAUCACGCAGAACCCCGAUUGCGAAGGCAGCAUACCGGUGCACAACUGACGCUCAGGCACGAAAGCGUGGGUAUCGAACAGGAUUAGAUACCCUUGUA
rnacentral:rRNA from 1 species